CUGGUCGCUGUGGGGUGUCGGCGAGGGCACGGCUUGUGGUGGGGGUUGUCGGGUCCUGGCCUCAAAACCGCGCCAGGACGGCAGAGGAGGAGAGGGGAUGUAAAGCCUACAGGAAAAAUCCCGGCUCCAGAUGGGCUUCCCUAAAGUCGUCCUCCAAGGGGAGGGGACAGCACGGCCUAAUUUUAGACAGAGUGCCCUAGUAUUACCGUGGAUGUACAGGUUAGUCGGGAGGGAGAAUAAAGCCUGGAGUUGAAGCAUUCUAGUCGAGGAGGAGAGUUUGCGCUGGCAUGUUCACCUGGGAGUAACAGAUGGGUGAUACCUGGUUCGCUCAUAACUGGUGCUCUGAGAAAUAGAGAAUUGGACAAAAUUGCCAUCCUGUGGAGCUUACAGUCAGAAAAAUCCUCUACACACAAAGCAGGCUGAGAGAAUAGCAGCUGAUCUGCAGCGGGAGCCCCAGGAGUGCAGGUCUCAACCAGAUGAGCCAGGUACUCUUCAAUCUCGGAAGCCUCUCAUCAUCUCACAAUGAUACUGUUGUAUUAAAAAUGCAUGGUAAGAAACAGACUCCAGAAAAAUACUAUGUUGGAAUUGACGUUGGCUCAGCAAGUGUUCGCGCAGCAUUGGUCGAUGGGCUUGGGACAGUGGUGGCACAUGCAGAGCAGCCAAUCCAAAUUUGGGAGCCCCAACCAGACCACUAUGAGCAAUCCUCUGCGGACAUAUGGGCUGCUUGCUGCUCAGUCACAAAGAAAGUCAUCUCUGGAGUAGAUGCUAGCCACAUUCGAGGGGUUGGGUUUGAUGCUACAUGUUCCCUUGUUGUUGUGGAUAAACAAUUCCAACCUUUGGCAGUCAACUGUGAAGGUCAAAACCAUAGGAAUGUCAUUAUGUGGAUGGACCAUCGUGCAGUCAGUCAAGUUGAGCGCAUCAAUGCAACGCAACACAGAGUUUUGAGCUAUGUAGGGGGAGUGAUGUCUGUGGAAAUGCAGCCACCUAAAUUGCUGUGGAUAAAGGAGAACCUGCAAGAAUCAUGCUGGGAGAAGGCAGGCCACUUCUUUGAUCUUCCGGAUUUCUUAUCUUGGAAAGCCACAGGUGUCACUGCAAGGUCCCUCUGUACAGUAGUGUGCAAGUGGACGUAUACCUCAGAUAAAGGUUGGGAUGACAGUUUCUGGAAAAUGAUUGGUUUGGAAGAUUUGGUAGAGGAUAAGUAUGAAAAAAUAGGAAACCACGUCUUGUCUCCUGGAGAGCCUGUUGGAAAAGGUCUAACGCCAGAAGCUGCAAGAGAUCUCGGUCUCCCUGAAGGGAUUGCGGUAGGAGCAUCUCUCAUUGAUGCCCAUGCUGGAGGACUAGGAGUAAUUGGAGCAGAUGUGAAAGGACAUAACCUGCCAUGUGAGAACCAGCCAAUUACAUCCCGAGUUGCUAUGAUCUGUGGAACAUCUUCAUGCCACAUGGGGGUCAGUGAAACACCCAUUUUUGUGCCUGGUGUCUGGGGACCUUAUUUCUCUGCAAUGGUACCUGGACUGUGGUUGAAUGAGGGAGGUCAAAGUGCUACAGGCAAGCUGGUAGAUCAUGUGGUCCGAGGCCAUGUCGCCUUCCCGGAAUUACAGGCAAAAGCUGCAGCCAGUGCUCACAGUAUAUAUACAUACUUGAACAGUCACCUGGAUCUGAUUAAGAAAUCUUUGCCUGUGGGUUUCCUCACUGUUGAUUUACAUGUUUGGCCAGAUUUCCAUGGUAACAGAUCUCCCUUAACAGAUCUGACACUAAAGGGCAUGGUUGUUGGACUAACAUUGUCUCAGGGUCUGGAUGAACUUGCCCUUAUCUACUUGGCCACGAUUCAAGCCAUUGCUUUAGGAACAAGACAUAUUUUGGAAACUAUGCAGGCUGCAGGGCAUCGUAUCAACACACUGUUCCUGUGUGGUGGGCUGAGCAAGAACCCUCUCUUUGUGCAGAUGCAUGCUGACAUUACUGGCAAGCCUGUUGUCCUGUCCAAAGAAGUGGAGUCUGUUUUGGUGGGUGCUGCUAUUCUUGGAGCCUGUGCUUCUGGGGAUUUUGCAUCUAUACAGUGGGAUUGCUCAGGAGAAUGCACAGAAAUUCAGAAUCUCACAGAGAUAAUUCCAUCCUCUCCCUUCCACAUGUGACUCUAUCCCAGAGACUCCUUCUGCAAGGAAUUCUGCUGCAUCCCUUUGUCUGACUUGGCUUUGGCCAAAAGCAGAGUAGGAUCAAAGAGGCCAUGGCGAAAAUGGGGAAAGUUGGGAGAGUUGUGCAGCCCAACCAUGAGCAUAAAAGGUGAAGGCUGUGAUUUGCUGUCAGUGGGCUCUGAGCUGCCCUAAGUCUCUGCCCGCGACGGCUUUCCUGAGCAAGUGAGCUCCAACCCGCAGCUGCAGGGAUGCGAGGAGCUGUGCCGGGGCCGCGGGAGCUUUGAGCGGCUGAGACUGCGGGCCCCGCGGCACUUGGAGCUUCGCGCAUCUUCACCCCUGCCCCGCCGAGGGGCUGCAGAAGCCCUGGAGUACUGGGGUCCCGGUGCCCGGUGUCCGGGGCGCUGCGGGGCCGCUCCGCCCGCUGCUGCUCCCGGCGGCGGCGCACGGCGGGGCGCGGGCACCCCCUGGCGGCGGCGGGCGGCGCCGGGGAGCGGACUCCGACAGCAAUGGGUGCUCCGGCAAGCGGGGACCGGGGGCUGAAGGAUGCGGGCCGCGAGUCCCGGGGCUCUCCGGGCGGUGUAAACGGGCAGGAGAGCAGCGAGGUCGCACUGUGCCCAUGCUCCCACAGCGAAGGGCUCUGGAGGUAAAAAGCGCCUGGAAAUCAAAGCCUGCUGUGGGAUUUUACGACAAGAAAUAUGAAGUAUUUUUGAGACUGGUGGAACAUCAGAGAGAGUAUCGGUCCAUCAUGAACAGCUUCUGAUCUGGAGUCAUGUAACCUGGGAACAGCAGGCAGAGCGAAUCUCCAGCUAUUUGUGAUGAGGGUAAUGUCUUCUCACUGUACCGUCCAUGGCAAAAAUACACCUUUAUCAUUUAAAGUGUACAUUUUAACUUGGAAUGAGAAAUAAAAUGCACUCACUGGC